rnacentral:misc_RNA from 1 species
GAUGAAGAACGCAGCGAAAUGCGAUAAGUAAUGUGAAUUGCAGAAUUCCGUGAAUCAUCGAAUCUUUGAACGCACAUUGCGCCCCCUGGUAUUCCGGGGGGGCAUGCCUGUCCGAGCGUCAUUGCAACCUUCAAGCGCGGCUUGUGUGUUGGGUCUCGUCCCCCGUGGACGGGCCCGAAAGGCAAUGGCGGCGUCCCGACAUGGUGCCCGAGCGUAUGGGAAUCCUCUUCCGCUCGAAUCGGCCCAUGCGGCGCUGGUCGUAACCAAAUUUUUUACCGGUUGACCUCGGAUCAGGUAGGGAUACCCGCUGAACUUAAGCAUAUCAAUAAGCGGAGGA